UACGUAGGGCGCAAGCGUUGUCCGGAAUUAUUGGGCGUAAAGAGCUCGUAGGUGGCGUGUCGCGUCUGCCGUGAAAGCCCAUGGCUUAACUGUGGGUCUGCGGUGGAUACGGGCAGGCUGGAGGCUGGUAGGGGCAAGCGGAAUUCCAGGUGUAGCGGUGAAAUGCGUAGAUAUCUGGAGGAACACCGGUGGCGAAGGCGGCAUCCUGGACCAACACUGACGCUGAUGAGCGAAAGCCAGGGGAGCAAACGGG
rnacentral:rRNA from 1 species